rnacentral:lncRNA from 1 species
UUGGAAGAAGGAAAUAAAGAAAACAUUGAUUAUGCUGAAAUAGUUUACUGGAGAGCUUGAACAAGAGGUAAAUCCAUUUUAAAUUAGAGGAAAACUGUUGAUUUGUAUGUAAAAUAGAAGACAAAGACAAGUUUAAAUAAAGACAAGCUAGCUAAUGAAACAGAUGCAGUGAUAUGACAAACACCUAGAAGAUGGAAUCCUGUGUUCUCAAAGAAAAAGCUAGUUCCAGAAAUAAGCUACCAAUAAUAAACUAGAGAAUGUAUUACAA